GUGGAAGUGAGAAGCAGGCUGGGAUAUGGACAUGACAGAAGAAACAAAAAUGCUCCUUAUUAAUACCGAAGAUCCUUUCCAUUUUGCGUUUUCUUGAAGAUUCUCUGAGCAAUAUUAAAAUCAAAGUAUCAGUGAAGCCCAAGAAACUAUUAACAGCUCCCAGGGCUGUGCCCUGAAGUGAGAAGGAAU
rnacentral:antisense_RNA from 1 species